rnacentral:lncRNA from 1 species
GUGGCAACCUUGAAAGUUCUUCUAGAAAGACACCUGAAAACUCACAAACCAUUGGGAUGCUUGCUAAAUUUGGCUUGCUUGCUUUUGUAUUGAUUAUACAUGCUAGAUAGGCUUCGCAUCCUUUUUUGAGUAGCUUACUAGCUAUCAAAGUUGAAAUCACAUAGGAAGGAAGUACAUGGCAUUCACAUGAGAAGCAUACCUCUUUGCCAU